AUGGCCGGCGGGAGGAAGCGGGAGUGGAUACGUAAGAAGAUGACGGCGGCAGUCGGGAGCGGGUCGCUGCGCAUGCGCGCGCUGCGGCAGCGGAGGAGACGGCUGCCGCGCGUCGACCUCCUCCGGUUCUUGUACGAGAGCAUCGUGUUCCGGCUGCUGUGGGUGCUCGAGUCCAUCGUCGUCCUCGCCAGGCUCUGCUUCUUCUUCCUCCGCUUCGGAUUCCGGCUGUAA
rnacentral:rRNA from 1 species